rnacentral:rRNA from 1 species
AGUGAACGCUGGCGGUAGGCCUAACACAUGCAAGUCGAACGGCAGCACAGUAAGAGCUUGCUCUUACGGGUGGCGAGUGGCGGACGGGUGAGGAAUACAUCGGAAUCUACUUUUUCGUGGGGGAUAACGUAGGGAAACUUACGCUAAUACCGCAUACGACCUACGGGUGAAAGCAGGGGAUCUUCGGACCUUGCGCGAUUGAAUGAGCGGAUGUCGGAUUGGCUAGUUGGCGGGGUAAAGGCCCACCAAGGCGCCGAUCCGCAGCCGGUCUGAGAGGAUGGUCGGCCACACUGGAACUGGGACACGGUCCAGACUCCUACGGGAGGCAGCAGUGGGGAAUAUUAGACAAUGGGGGCAAGCCUGGUCCAGCCAUACCGCGUGGGUGAAGAAGGCCUUCGGGUUGUAAAGCCCUUUUGUUGGGAAAGAAAAGCAGCAGGUUAAUACCCCGCUGUUCUGACGGUACCCAAAGAAUAAGCACCGGCUAACUUCGUG